rnacentral:rRNA from 1 species
GCGCCCUUAGAGUUUGAUCCUGGCUCAAGACGAACUUUGGCGGCGCGCCUAACACAUGCAAGUCGAACGAGUGAGAGAGAGCUUGCUUUCUCGAGCGAGUGGCGAACGGGUGAGUAACGCGUGAGGAACCUGCCUCAAAGAGGGGGACAACAGUUGGAAACGACUGCUAAUACCGCAUAAGCCCACGGUGCCGCAUGGCACAGAGGGAAAAGGAGCAAUCCGCUUUGAGAUGGCCUCGCGUCCGAUUAGCUAGUUGAUGAGGUAACGGCCCACCAAGGCAACGAUCGGUAGCCGGACUGAGAGGUUGAACGGCCACAUUGGGACUGAGACACGGCCCAGACUCCUACGGGAGGCAGCAGUGGGGAAUAUUGCACAAUGGGGGAAACCCUGAUGCAGCGACGCCGCGUGGAGGAAGAAGGUCUUCGGAUUGUAAACUCCUGUUGUUGGGGAAGAUAAUGACGGUACCCAACAAGGAAGUGACGGCUAACUACGUGCCAGCAGCCGCGGUAAAACGUAGGUCACAAGCGUUGUCCGGAAUUACUGGGUGUAAAGGGAGCGCAGGCGGGAAGACAAGUUGGAAGUGAAAUCUAUGGGCUCAACCCAUAAACUGCUUUCAAAACUGUUUUUCUUGAGUAGUGCAGAGGUAGGCGGAAUUCCCGGUGUAGCGGUGGAAUGCGUAGAUAUCGGGAGGAACACCAGUGGCGAAGGCGGCCUACUGGGCACCAACUGACGCUGAGGCUCGAAAGUGUGGGUAGCAAACAGGAUUAGAUACCCUGGUAGUCCACACCGUAAACGAUGAUUACUAGGUGUUGGAGGAUUGACCCCUUCAGUGCCGCAGUUAACACAAUAAGUAAUCCACCUGGGGAGUACGACCGCAAGGUUGAAACUCAAAGGAAUUGACGGGGGCCCGCACAAGCAGUGGAGUAUGUGGUUUAAUUCGACGCAACGCGAAGAACCUUACCAAGUCUUGACAUCCCUUGACAGGCAUAGAAAUAUGUAUUCUCUUCGGAGCAAGGAGACAGGUGGUGCAUGGUUGUCGUCAGCUCGUGUCGUGAGAUGUUGGGUUAAGUCCCGCAACGAGCGCAACCCUUAUGGUCAGUUACUACGCAAGAGGACUCUGGCCAGACUGCCGUUGACAAAACGGAGGAAGGUGGGGAUGACGUCAAAUCAUCAUGCCCUUUAUGACUUGGGCUACACACGUACUACAAUGGCGUUAAACAAAGAGAAGCAAGACCGCGAGGUGGAGCAAAACUCAGAAACAACGUCCCAGUUCGGACUGCAGGCUGCAACUCGCCUGCACGAAGUCGGAAUUGCUAGUAAUCGUGGAUCAGCAUGCCACGGUGAAUACGUUCCCGGGCCUUGCACU